GGCUUCUGUGGCACCGCGGAGAUGGCUCUCAAGACCAUGUAACUUCAGGAGAGCGUCAGAGAUGAAAAGGAAAUCAAAGUUUCCACUGAUGGAAACUUUACAAAGCAGAUUUUUCUGAUGUGAAUGUGAGAUUUUCGGUCUUGGAAGGCGACCAUGUGAAGAAGGUGUAAUCUCAACUGUGUGAGGAAAUGGGAGUGGCGGAAGUGUGCCGGAGACUGUUCUUUCAGGAUGAAGUUCAACGACGACGUCUGACCGCUGCCCCUCUCAUCGGAUGUCCGUUCCACUCAUUCAGGGUCAAACUGGCUGGCACUAUAAACAGUCUUCGCACAUUACACAGAAGGCAGAUCUAUCCCACUUACUGCGGUUUACCUGAGCCCCUGGACGUGAAUACCACAGCUGGGUAUGUGCACGUUCUCCAAGAGUAGGUCUGUGCUCUGAGGACCUACCUUUGCCAAGGUCUCAUCGUCCAGGUGAUUCUUCUGAAUCACAUGUUGCAGUGCAAAAUAAAUUCUCCUUGAAGCUUCUGGACCUUCCUUGGUUCUAUCAGCCAGGCUCGGUCUGACAAAGGAAAAGAAAGAACGAGAAGCUUUAUACACCAUGGUGACAAAACGCAGCCCAGCA